rfam:Oryza glumipatula chromosome 4, whole genome shotgun sequence.
AAUAAGUAUAGUUUUGCACUAUUUAUGUUAAACGUUUUACCGUUCAUCUUAUUUAAUUUUUGUUAGAUGAUUAAAUAUGAAUAGUACUUUAUAUGUGAUUAUUUUUUAAAAAAAUAUAUAAUUUUUUAAAUAAGAUGGACGGUCAAAAGUUGGACAUGGAUAUUCACUGCUGCACUUAUU